rnacentral:rRNA from 1 species
GAUCAUGGCUCAGGAUGAACGCUAGCUACAGGCUUAACACAUGCAAGUCGAGGGGAAACGAUAUUGGAAGCUUGCUUCCGAUAGGCGUCGACCGGCGCACGGGUGAGUAACGCGUAUCCAACCUGCCCACCACUUGGGGGAUAACCUUGCGAAAGUAAGACUAAUACCCAACUGAUAUCUCUAGAAGACAUCUGAAAGAAGAUUAAAGAUUUAUUCGGUGGAUGGAUGGGGAGUGCGU